AACGAACGCUGGCGGCAGGCUUAACACAUGCAAGUCGAGCGCCCCGCAAGGGGAGCGGCAGACGGGUGAGUAACGCGUGGGAAUCUAACCAUCUCUACGGAAUAACGCAUGGAAACGCGUGCUAAUACCGUAUACGUUCUUCGGGAGAAAGAUUUAUCGGAGAUGGAUGAGCCCGCGUUGGAUUAGCUAGUUGGAGGGGUAAAGGCCUACCAAGGCGACGAUCCAUAGCUGGUCUGAGAGGAUGAUCAGCCACACUGGGACUGAGACACGGCCCAGACUCCUACGGGAGGCAGCAGUGGGGAAUAUUGGACAAUGGGCGCAAGCCUGAUCCAGCCAUGCCGCGUGAGUGAUGAAGGCCCUAGGGUUGUAAAGCUCUUUCACCGGUGAAGAUAAUGACGGUAACCGGAGAAGAAGCCCCGGCUAACUUCGUGCCAGCCGCCGCGGUAACAC
rnacentral:rRNA from 1 species